rnacentral:rRNA from 1 species
AACGAACGCUGGCGGCAGGCCUAACACAUGCAAGUCGAGCGAGACCUUCGGGUCUAGCGGCGGACGGGUGAGUAACGCGUGGGAACGUGCCCUUUGGUACGGAAUAGCCCCGGGAAACUGGGAGUAAUACCGUAUAAGCUCUUCGGAGGAAAGAUUUAUCGCCAAAGGAUCGGCCCGCGUUGGAUUAGGUAGUUGGUGGGGUAAUGGCCUACCAAGCCGACGAUCCAUAGCUGGUUUGAGAGGAUGAUCAGCCACACUGGGACUGAGACACGGCCCAGACUCCUACGGGAGGCAGCAGUAAGGAAUAUUGGACAAUGGACGCAAGUCUGAUCCAGCCAUGCCGCGUGAAGGAUGAAGGUCCUCUGGAUUGUAAACUUCUUUUAUCUGGGGCGAAAACCGGUUAUUCUUAACCGCUUGACAGUACCAGAUGAAUAAGCACCGGCUAACUCCGUG